UACGUAGGGGGCAAGCGUUGUCCGGAUUUAUUGGGCGUAAAGAGCGUGUAGGCGGUUUGGUAGGUCCGUUGUGAAAACUCGAGGCUCAACCUCGAGACGCCGAUGGAAACCAUCAGACUAGAGUCCGGAAGAGGAGAGUGGAAUUCCUGGUGUAGCGGUGAAAUGCGCAGAUAUCAGGAAGAACACCCGUGGCUAAGGCGGCUCUCUAGUACGGUACUGACGCCGAGACGCGAAAGCGUGGGGAGCGAACAGG
rnacentral:rRNA from 1 species